UACAGAGGUCUCAAGCGUUGUUCGGAUUCAUUGGGCGUAAAGGGUGCGUAGGCGGCACAGCAAGUCGGGAGUGAAAGCCCGGGGCUCAACCCCGGAAUGGCUUUCGAAACUGCUGAGCUAGAGUACAGAAGGGGCAACCGGAAUUCCCAGUGUAGCGGUGAAAUGCGUAGAUAUUGGGAAGAACACCUGAGGCGAAGGCGGGUUGCUAGGCUGAUACUGACGCUGAGGCGCGAAAGCCAGGGGAGCAAACGGG
rnacentral:rRNA from 1 species